GGUGAGAUGGCCGAGCGGUCUAAGGCGCCAGACUAAGGAUCAGCUCAUUGGAUGAGCAAGUUAUCUGGUCCUCCGGGGCGUGGGUUCGAAUCCCACUCUCAUCA
rnacentral:tRNA from 2 species